rnacentral:rRNA from 1 species
GACGAACGCUGGCGGCGUGCUUAACACAUGCAAGUCGAACGGAAAGGCCCUUCGGGGUACUCGAGUGGCGAACGGGUGCGUAACACGUGGGUGAUCUGCCCUGCACUUUGGGAUAAGCCUGGGAAACUGGGUCUAAUACCGAAUAGGACCACGCGCUUCAUGGUGUGUGGGGGAAAGCUUUUGCGGUGUGGGAUGGGCCCGCGGCCUAUCAGCUUGUUGGUGGGGUAAUGGCCUACCAAGGCGACGACGGGUAGCCGGCCUGAGAGGGUGACCGGCCACACUGGGACUGAGAUACGGCCCAGACUCCUACGGGAGGCAGCAGUGGGGAAUAUUGCACAAUGGGCGCAAGCCUGAUGCAGCGACGCCGCGUGAGGGAUGACGGCCUUCGGGUUGUAAACCUCUUUCAAUAGGGACGAAGCGCAAGUGACGGUACCUAUAGAAGAAGCACCGGCCAACUACGUG